rnacentral:rRNA from 1 species
UUAAGGGCGCACGGUGGAUGCCUUGGCACCAGGAACCGAUGAAGGACGUGGGAGGCCACGAUAGUCCCCGGGGAGUCGUCAACCAGACUUUGAUCCGGGGGUUUCCGAAUGGGGAAACCCGGCAGUCGUCAUGGGCUGUCACCCGCUGCUGAACACAUAGGCAGUGUGGAGGGAACGCGGGGAAGUGAAACAUCUCAGUACCCGCAGGAAGAGAAAACAACCGUGAUUCCGGGAGUAGUGGCGAGCGAAACCGGAUGAGGCCAAACCGUAUACGUGUGAGACCCGGCAGGGGUUGCGUGUGCGGGGUUGUGGGAUCUCUCUUCCACGGUCUGCCGGCCGUGGGACGAGUCAGAAACCGUUGAUGUAGGCGAAGGACAUGCGAAAGGUCCGGCGUAGAGGGUAAGACCCCCGUAGUCGAAACAUCAGCGGCUCGUUUGAGAGACACCCAAGUAGCACGGGGCCCGAGAAAUCCCGUGUGAAUCUGGCGGGACCACCCGCUAAGCCUAAAUAUUCCCUGGUGACCGAUAGCGGAUAGUACCGUGAGGGAAUGGUGAAAAGUACCGCGGGAGCGGAGUGAAAUAGUACCUGAAACCGUGUGCCUACAAGCCGUGGGAGCGUCGGACAUCAAGCUUGCUUGGUGUCUCGUGACUGCGUGCCUUUUGAAGAAUGAGCCUGCGAGUUUGCGGUGUGUUGCGAGGUUAACCCGAGUGGGGAAGCCGUAGCGAAAGCGAGUCCGAACAGGGCGGUUCAGUAGCACGCUCAAGACCCGAAGCGGAGUGAUCUAGCCAUGGGCAGGUUGAAGCGGCUGUAAGAGGUCGUGGAGGACCGAACCCACCAGGGUUGAAAACCUGGGGGAUGACCUGUGGUUAGGGGUGAAAGGCCAAUCAAACUCCGUGAUAGCUGGUUCUCCCCGAAAUGCAUUUAGGUGCAGCGUCGUGUGUUUCUUGCCGGAGGUAGAGCACUGGAUAGGCGAUGGGCCCUACCGGGUUACUGACCUUAGCCAAACUCCGAAUGCCGGUAAGUGAGAGCGCGGCAGUGAGACUGUGGGGGAUAAGCUCCAUGGUCGAGAGGGAAACAGCCCAGAGCAUCGACUAAGGCCCCUAAGCGUACGCUAAGUGGGAAAGGAUGUGGAGUCGCACAGACAACCAGGAGGUUGGCUUAGAAGCAGCCACCCUUGAAAGAGUGCGUAAUAGCUCACUGGUCUAGUGAUUCCGCGCCGACAAUGUAGCGGGGCUCAAGCGUACCGCCGAAGUCGUGUCAUUGCAGCAAUACGGCCAACGCCGGCUGUGAUGGGUAGGGGAGCGUCGUGUGCCGGGUGAAGCAGCCGCGGAAGCGAGUUGUGGACGGUUCACGAGUGAGAAUGCAGGCAUGAGUAGCGAUACAAACGUGAGAAACGUUUGCGCCGAUUGACUAAGGGUUCCUGGGUCAAGCUGAUCUGCCCAGGGUAAGUCGGGACCUAAGGCGAGGCCGACAGGCGUAGUCGAUGGAUAACCGGUUGAUAUUCCGGUACCCGCUGUGAAGCGUCAAACAUCGAGCAUCGUGAUGCUAAGGCCGUGAAGCCGUUCCGGACCCUUCGGGGAAAGGAAAGUGGUGGAGCCGCCGGACCAAGCGGUUAGUAGGUGAGUGAUGGGGUGACGCAGGAAGGUAGUCCAUCCCGGGCGGUGGUUGUCCCGGGGUAAGGGUGUAGGCCGUGCGGUAGGUAAAUCCGUCGCACAUGUGGCUGAGACCUGAUGCCGAGCCGAUUGUGGUGAAGUGGAUGAUCCUAUGCUGUCGAGAAAAGCCUCUAGCGAGUUUCAUGGCGGCCCGUACCCUAAACCGACUCAGGUGGUCAGGUAGAGAAUACCGAGGCGUUCGGGUGAACUAUGGUUAAGGAACUCGGCAAAAUGCCCCCGUAACUUCGGGAGAAGGGGGGCCAUUCCUGGUGAUGACAUUUACUGNNNNNNNNNNGAUGGGGUGACGCAGGAAGGUAGUCCAUCCCGGGCGGUGGUUGUCCCGGGGUAAGGGUGUAGGCCGUGCGGUAGGUAAAUCCGUCGCACAUGUGGCUGAGACCUGAUGCCGAGCCGAUUGUGGUGAAGUGGAUGAUCCUAUGCUGUCGAGAAAAGCCUCUAGCGAGUUUCAUGGCGGCCCGUACCCUAAACCGACUCAGGUGGUCAGGUAGAGAAUACCGAGGCGUUCGGGUGAACUAUGGUUAAGGAACUCGGCAAAAUGCCCCCGUAACUUCGGGAGAAGGGGGGCCAUUCCUGGUGAUGAGAUUUUCUCUCUGAGCUGGGGGUGGCCGCAGAGACCAGCGAGAAGCGACUGUUUACUAAAAACACAGGUCCGUGCGAAGCCGUAAGGCGAUGUAUACGGACUGACGCCUGCCCGGUGCUGGAACGUUAAGGGGACCGGUUAGCUCCAUUUCGGUGGGGCGAAGCUGAGAACUUAAGCGCCAGUAAACGGCGGUGGUAACUAUAACCAUCCUAAGGUAGCGAAAUUCCUUGUCGGGUAAGUUCCGACCUGCACGAAUGGCGUAACGACUUCUCGACUGUCUCAACCAUAGGCCCGGUGAAAUUGCACUACGAGUAAAGAUGCUCGUUUCGCGCAGCAGGACGGAAAGACCCCGGGACCUUUACUACAGUUUGAUAUUGGUGUUCGGUUCGGCUUGUGUAGGAUAGCUGGGAGACUGUGAACUCUGGACGCCAGUUCAGGGGGAGUCGUCGUUGAAAUACCAGUCUGGUCGUGCUGGAUGUCUAACCUGGGUCCGUGAUCCGGAUCAGGGACAGUGUCUGAUGGGUAGUUUAACUGGGGCGGUUGCCUCCUAAAGAGUAACGGAGGCGCCCAAAGGUUCCCUCAGCCUGGUUGGCAAUCAGGUGUUGAGUGUAAGUGCACAAGGGAGCUUGACUGUGAGACCGACGGGUCGAGCAGGGACGAAAGUCGGGACUAGUGAUCCGGCGGUGGCUUGUGGAAGCGCCGUCGCUCAACGGAUAAAAGGUACCCCGGGGAUAACAGGCUGAUCUUCCCCAAGAGUCCAUAUCGACGGGAUGGUUUGGCACCUCGAUGUCGGCUCGUCGCAUCCUGGGGCUGGAGUCGGUCCCAAGGGUUGGGCUGUUCGCCCAUUAAAGCGGUACGCGAGCUGGGUUUAGAACGUCGUGAGACAGUUCGGUCCCUAUCCGCUGUGCGCGUAGGAGUCUUGAGAAGGGCUGUCCCUAGUACGAGAGGACCGGGACGGACGAACCUCUGGUGUGCCAGUUGUCCUGCCAAGGGCAUGGCUGGUUGGCUACGUUCGGGAGGGAUAACCGCUGAAAGCAUCUAAGCGGGAAGCCUGCUUCGAGAUGAGGACUCCCACNNNNNNNNNNUCUAGCGAGUUUCAUGGCGGCCCGUACCCUAAACCGACUCAGGUGGUCAGGUAGAGAAUACCGAGGCGUUCGGGUGAACUAU